rnacentral:rRNA from 2 species
CUUGGUCAUUUAGAGGAAGUAAAAGUCGUAACAAGGUUUCCGUAGGUGAACCUGCGGAAGGAUCAUUAAAGAGACGUUGCCCUUCGGGGUAUACCUCCCACCCUUUGUUUAUUUAUACCUUUGUUGCUUUGGCAGACCCGGCUUCGGCCCACCGGCUCCGGCUGGUCAGUGUCUGCCAGAGGACCUAAAACUCUGUUUGUUAAUAUUGUCUGAGUACUAUAUAAUAGUUAAAACUUUCAACAACGGAUCUCUUGGUUCUGGCAUCGAUGAAGAACGCAGCGAAAUGCGAUAAGUAAUGUGAAUUGCAGAAUUCAGUGAAUCAUCGAAUCUUUGAACGCACAUUGCGCCCUCUGGUAUUCCGGGGGGCAUGCCUGUUCGAGCGUCAUUACAACCCUCAAGCUUUGCUUGGUAUUGGACAUUGCCAGUUUCUGGCAGGUCUUAAAAUCAGUGGCGGUGCCAUUUGGCUUCAAGCGUAGUAAUUCUUCUCGCUUUGGAGAUCCAGGUGGUUACUUGCCAAUAACCCCCAAUUUUUUCAGGUUGACCUCGGAUCAGGUAGGGAUACCCGCUGAACUUAAGCAUAUCAAUAAGCGGAGGA